rnacentral:other from 1 species
GAUAUCCUGAAGUGUUCGUUACCACACUAUUUUUGAACCUACAUCUUUUUACAGGGAGUCUGGAUGUUCUUUGCUCGAUGCCGAGCCACUUCGAGUGGAUGGCAAAGGAUGCGAAGACAAGACACCCACCUAGCAUCCGCUAGGCGUCAAAAAUAUGGGACGGCACAUUCGGGAUUUUU